CACUGCGGACGGCCUGUCCUCCCCUGGCCGUCCUACCGACGGGGCUUCUCCUCCCACCCCGGUCGGAUAUUCGAACGCCCGCCGGUUCUCCUCCCACCGGCGGGCGUUUCGA
rnacentral:sRNA from 13 species